UACGAAGGGGGCGAGCGUUGUUCGGAUUUACUGGGCGUAAAGGGCGCGCAGGCGGUCUUGAAAGUCAGGCGUGAAAGCCCCGGGCUUAACCUGGGAAUUGCGCUUGAUACUCUGAGACUGGAGUACGGGAGAGGAGAGUGGAAUUCCCAGUGUAGAGGUGAAAUUCGUAGAUAUUGGGAAGAACACCGGUGGCGAAGGCGGCGAGCUGGUCCAUUACUGACGCUGAGGCGCGACAGCGUGGGGAGCAAACAGG
rnacentral:rRNA from 1 species